rnacentral:misc_RNA from 1 species
CUGAGUAUCUUACUCUCUAAACCCAUGUGAACUUACCACUUGUUGCCUCGGCGGCGACAGGUUCUGCAUUCUGUGCAGGGCUCUCUAGCCGCCGGUGGACUACUUAAACUCUGUUUUAUAGUGUCUCUCUGAGUAACUACAAAAUAAAUCA